GAGACUCUGUGCGCGUGCAUAUCAAUAAGCGGAGGAAAAGAAACUAACAAGGAUUCCCCUAGUAACGGCGAGUGAAGCGGGAAGAGCUCAAAUUUGAAAUCUUAAAGGGUUUCCCUUUACGAAUUGUAGUUUAAAGAAGUGUUUUCUGUUGGAGUUUCGGUAAAAGUUCUUUGGAAUAGGACAUCAUAGAGGGUGAGAAUCCCGUAUUUGACCGUUACUUUCCAGCUGUGUGAUACACUUUCAAAGAGUCGGAUUGUUUGGGAAUGCAGUCCAAAAUGGGUGGUAAAUUUCAUCUAAAGCUAAAUAUUGGCGAGAGACCGAUAGCGAACAAGUACCGUGAGGGAAAGAUGAAAAGAACUUUGAAAAGAGAGUUAAACAGUACGUGAAAUUGUCAAAAGGGAAGCGUUUGACACCAGUGUUGUUUAGUUGAAAAUCAAUUCAAUAAUUUUUGAUUUUAAGUAGUAUUGACUUCAUCAGCUUGCUGCUUUCUUUUCAGGAAUUAGUUGAAUGCACUUUUCAGUUAACAAGUCAACAUCAAUUUCUUUUGUUGUGAAAGGGUAAGAGGAAGGUGGCUUACGCUUCGGCGUAAGUGUUUAUAGCCUUUUACCUCUGCAAUCGGAGAGAUUGAGGACAGCAGCGUAGACUCCUUCGGGGGUUAGAUACACUUGUGCUAAGCUAUAGCCUUGUAUAGACAACUUGUUGACUAUGCUCAGUCAUGUAGCUUACUCGCUUGUGCUAUUUUACCUACGCUUAGGAUGUUGACAGCAGUAUAGACUGU
rnacentral:rRNA from 1 species